GACGAACGCUGGCGGCGUGCUUAACACAUGCAAGUCGAGCGGAAAGGCCCUUCGGGGUACUCGAGCGGCGAACGGGUGAGUAACACGUGAGUAACCUGCCCCAGACUUUGGGAUAACCCUCGGAAACGGGGGCUAAUACCGGAUACGACACAGCUUCGCAUGGGGUCUGUGUGGAAAGUUUUUCGGUUUGGGUUGGGCUCGCGGCCUAUCAGCUUGUUGGUGGGGUGAUGGCCUACCAAGGCGACGACGGGUAGCCGGCCUGAGAGGGCGACCGGCCACACGGGGACUGAGACACGGCCCAGACUCCUACGGGAGGCAGCAGUGGGGAAUAGUGCACAAUGGGCGGAAGCCUGAUGCAGCGACGCCGCGUGAGGGAUGACGGCCUUCGGGUUGUAAACCUCUUUCAGCAGGGACGAAGCGUAAGUGACGGUACCUGCAGAAGAAGCGCCGGCCAACUACGUG
rnacentral:rRNA from 1 species